AACCUCCGCAAUGUGAGAAAUCGCGACGGGGGGAUCCCAAGUGCCAUUCUUAACGGGAUGGCUUUUCAUUAGUGUAAAGAGCUUUUGGAAUAAGGGCUGGGCAAGACCGGUGCCAGCCGCCGCGGUAACACCGGCAGCUCUAGUGGUAGCAGUUUUUAUUGGGCCUAAAGCGUCCGUAGCCGGUUUAAUAAGUCUCUGGUGAAAUCCUGUAGCUUAACUGUGGGAAUUGCUGGAGAUACUAUUAGACUUGAGACCGGGAGAGGUUAGAGGUACUCCCAGGGUAGAGGUGAAAUUCUGUAAUCCUGGGAGGACCGCCUGUUGCGAAGGCGUCUAACUGGAACGGUUCUGACGGUGAGGGACGAAAGUUAGGGGCGCGAACCGGAUUAGAUACCCGGGUAGUCCUAACUGUAAACGAUGCGGACUUGGUGUUGGGGUGGCUUUGAGCUGCUCCAGUGCCGAAGGGAAGCUGUUAAGUCCGCCGCCUGGGAAGUACGGUCGCAAGACUGAAACUUAAAAGAGUU
rnacentral:rRNA from 1 species